rnacentral:rRNA from 1 species
GAUGAACGCUGGCGGCGUGCCUAAUACAUGCCAGUCGAGCGAACAGAUGAGGAGCUUGCUCCUCUGACGUUAGCGGCGGACGGGUGAGUAACACGUGGAUAACCUACCUAUAAGACUGGGAUAACUUCGGGAAACCGGAGCUAAUACCGGAUAAUAUAUUGAACCGCAUGGUUCAAUAGUGAAAGACGGUUUUGCUGUCACUUAUAGAUGGAUCCGCGCCGCAUUAGCUAGUCGGUAAGGUAACGGCUUACCAAGGCAACGAUGCGUAGCCGACCUGAGAGGGUGAUCGGCCACACUGGAACUGAGACACGGUCCAGACUCCUACGGGAGGCAGCAGUAGGGAAUCUUCCGCAAUGGGCGAAAGCCUGACGGAGCAACGCCGCGUGAGUGAUGAAGGUCUUCGGAUCGUAAAACUCUGUUAUUAGGGAAGAACAAAUGUGUAAGUAACUAUGCACGUCUUGACGGUACCUAAUCAGAAAGCCACGGCUAACUACGUG